rnacentral:rRNA from 1 species
GGAAUAUUGGACAAUGGGGGAAACCCUGAUCCAGCAAUGCCGCGUGAAUGAAGAAGGCCUUAGGGUUGUAAAGUUCUUUCACCUGUGAAGAUAAUGACGGUAGCAGGAGAAGAAGCCCCGGCUAACUCCGUGCCAGCAGCCGCGGUGAGACGGAGGGGGCUAGCGUUGUUCGGAAUGACUGGGCGUAAAGGGCGCGUAGGCGGUUUUUUAAGUGAGGCGUGAAAGCCCUGGGCUUAACCCAGGAAUUGCGUUUCAGACUGGAAAACUUGAGUACGAGAGAGGUAAGUGGAAUUCCUAGUGUAGAGGUGAAAUUCGUAGAUAUUAGGAAGAACACCAGUGGCGAAGGCGGCUUACUGGCUCGUAACUGACGCUGAGGCGCGAAAGCGUGGGGAGCAAAC